rnacentral:rRNA from 1 species
UCGAACGCAUGGCUUCGGCCAUGAGUGGCGAACGGGUGAGUAACACGUAGGUUACGUACCCUCUGGUGGGGAAUAACUUGGGGAAACCUAAGCUAAUACCGCAUGUGUCCUUCGGGAUGAAAGCCUUCGGGCGCCAGAGGAGCGGCCUGCGGCCCAUUAUUUAAUCCUUGUUGGUAGGGUAACGGCCUACCAAGGGUACGAUGGGUAGCUGGUCUGAGAGGAUGAUCAGCCACACUGGAACUGAGACACGGUCCAGACUCCUACGGGAGGCAGCAGUGGGGAAUAUUGGACAAUGGGCGCAAGCCUGAUCCAGCUAUGCCGCGUGGGUGAUGAAGGCCUUCGGGUUGUAAAGCCCUGUCGGGAGGGACGAAACCCUUACGGGUUGACGGUACCUCGCAAGAAAGCACCGGCUAACUCCGUGCCAGCAGCCGCGGUAAUACGGAGGGUGCAAGCGUUG